rnacentral:rRNA from 1 species
GACGAACGCUGGCGGCGUGCUUAACACUUGCAAGUCGAACGGAAAGGCCCUGCUUUUGUGGGGUGCUCGAGUGGCGAACGGGUGAGUAACACGUGAGUAACCUGCCCUUGACUUUGGGAUAACUUCGGGAAACUGGGGCUAAUACCGGAUAGGAGCUCCUGCUGCAUGGUGGGGGUUGGAAAGUUUCGGCGGUUGGGGAUGGACUCGCGGCUUAUCAGCUUGUUGGUGGGGUAGUGGCUUACCAAGGCUUUGACGGGUAGCCGGCCUGAGAGGGUGACCGGCCACAUUGGGACUGAGAUACGGCCCAGACUCCUACGGGAGGCAGCAGUGGGGAAUAUUGCACAAUGGGCGGAAGCCUGAUGCAGCAACGCCGCGUGCGGGAUGACGGCCUUCGGGUUGUAAACCGCUUUCGCCUGUGACGAAGCGUGAGUGACGGUAAUGGGUAAAGAAGCACCGGCUAACUACGUGCCAGCAGCCGCGGUGAUACGUAGGGUGCGAGCGUUGUCCGGAUUUAUUGGGCGUAAAGGGCUCGUAGGUGGUUGAUCGCGUCGGAAGUGUAAUCUUGGGGCUUAACCCUGAGCGUGCUUUCGAUACGGGUUGACUUGAGGAAGGUAGGGGAGAAUGGAAUUCCUGGUGGAGCGGUGGAAUGCGCAGAUAUCAGGAGGAACACCAGUGGCGAAGGCGGUUCUCUGGGCCUUUCCUGACGCUGAGGAGCGAAAGCGUGGGGAGCGAACAGGCUUAGAUACCCUGGUAGUCCACGCUGUAAACGGUGGGUACUAGGUGUGGGGUCCAUUCCACGGGUUCCGUGCCGUAGCUAACGCUUUAAGUACCCCGCCUGGGGAGUACGGCCGCAAGGCUAAAACUCAAAGGAAUUGACGGGGCCCCGCACAAGCGGCGGAGCAUGCGGAUUAAUUCGAUGCAACGCGUAGAACCUUACCUGGGUUUGACAUGGAUCGGGAGCGCUCAGAGAUGGGUGUGCCUCUUUUGGGGUCGGUUCACAGGUGGUGCAUGGCUGUCGUCAGCUCGUGUCGUGAGAUGUUGGGUUAAGUCCCGCAACGAGCGCAACCCUUGUUCACUGUUGCCAGCACGUUAUGGUGGGGACUCAGUGGAGACCGCCGGGGUCAACUCGGAGGAAGGUGGGGAUGACGUCAAGUCAUCAUGCCCCUUAUGUCCAGGGCUUCACGCAUGCUACAAUGGCUGGUACAGAGAGUGGCGAGCCUGUGAGGGUGAGCGAAUCUCGGAAAGCCGGUCUCAGUUCGGAUUGGGGUCUGCAACUCGACCUCAUGAAGUCGGAGUCGCUAGUAAUCGCAGAUCAGCAACGCUGCGGUGAAUACGUUCCCGGGGCU